AUCCUGGCUCAGGAUGAACGCUAGCGGCAGGCUUAAUACAUGCAAGUCGUGGGGCAAGCGUUGGUAGCAAUACCGGCGCCUAGACCGGCAAACGGGUGAGGAACACGUACACAACCUCCCUUCGAGUGGAGAAUAACCCGGGGAAACCUGGACUAAUACUCCGUAACAUGUUGAAAAGGCAUCUUUUUAAUAUUAUAGCAGCAAUGCGCUUGAAGACGGGUGUGCGUAUGAUUAGGUAGUUGGCGGGGUAACGGCCCACCAAGCCUACGAUCAUUAACUGGUGUGAGAGCACGAUCAGUCACACGGGCACUGAGACACGGGCCCGACUCCUACGGGAGGCAGCAGUAAGGAAUAUUGGUCAAUGGACGAAAGUCUGAACCAGCCAUGCCGCGUGGAGGAUGAAGGUCCUCUGGAUUGUAAACUUCUUUUAUAUGGGGCGAAAAAAGGCUUUUCUAAGUCGUCUGACGGUACCAUAUGAAUAAGCACCGGCUAACUCCGUGCCAGCAGCCGCGGUAAUACGGAGGGUGCAAGCGUUAUCCGGAUUCACUGGGUUUAAAGGGAGCGUAGGUGGGCUGGUAAGUCAGUGGUGAAAUCUCCGAGCUUAACUCGGAAAUUGCCGUUGAUACUGUAUGUCUUGAGUUUAUGUUGAAGGUGGGCGGAAAUGUAGUCAUGUAAGCGGUGAAAUGCAUAAGAAGAUGCUCCAGGAAACACCCGAUAUGCGAAGGCAGCUCAGCUAACGUUAAAGAACU
rnacentral:rRNA from 1 species